rnacentral:rRNA from 1 species
GUUCAUGCCCUGACGGGUAGAUCUCCCAUCCUCUGUUAUCAUUACCUUUGUUGCUUUGGCGGGCCGUCAGGCCCCGGCCAGGCUACCGGCUCCAGCUGGUAAGCGCCCGCCAGAGGACCCCAAACCCUGAAUAUUAGUGUCGUCUGAGUCCUAUGUAAUCGUUAAAACUUUCAACAACGGAUCUCUUGGUUCUGGCAUCGAUGAAGAACGCAGCGAAAUGCGAUAAGUAAUGUGAAUUGCAGAAUUCAGUGAAUCAUCGAAUCUUUGAACGCACAUUGCGCCCCUCGGUAUUCCGAGGGGCAUGCCUGUCCGAGCGUCAUUGCUAUACCUCAAGCCCAGCUUGUGUUGGACUCCCUGUCUUGUUGGACAGUAGUCCCAAAGGCAGUGGCAGGGUCGUAGUCCGGUCUUUUCAAUGCGUAUGGGGCAUUGUCACCCGCUUGAAAGCUGGCCGGCCCUUUUCAGCCUAUACAAAUCUUUUUUUUCUGAUGGACCUCGGAUCAGGUAGGGAUACCCGCUGAACUUAAGCAUAUCAAUA